UGAGGAACUUGCCCCGGAGACCGGGAUAACCCUCCGAAAGGAGAGCUAAUACCGGAUGUCCUCACCGAGUCGCGUGGCUUGGUGAAGAAAUGGAUUCCGCUCCGGGAGAGCCUCGCGGCCUAUCAGCUUGUUGGUGGGGUAACGGCCCACCAAGGCGUCGACGGGUAGCUGGUCUGAGAGGACGAUCAGCCACACUGGGACUGAGACACGGCCCAGACUCCUACGGGAGGCAGCAGUGGGGAAUCUUGCGCAAUGGGCGAAAGCCUGACGCAGCAACGCCGCGUGCGGGAUGAAGGCCCUCGGGUUGUAAACCGCUUUCAGUGGGGACGAACCAAGACGGUACCCACAGAAGAAGCCCCGGCCAACUACGUGCCAGCAGCCGCGGUAACACGUAGGGGGCAAGCGUUGUCCGGAUUUAUUGGGCGUAAAGAGCUCGUAGGCGGUUCGGUAAGACGGGUGUGAAACCUCCAGGCUCAACCUGGAGACGCCACCCGAUACUGCUGUGACUAGAGUCCAGUAGGGGAGCGUGGAAUUCCUGGUGUAGCGGUGAAAUGCGCAGAUAUCAGGAGGAACACCAGUGGCGAAGGCGGCGCUCUGGGCUGGAACUGACGCUGAGGAGCGAAAGCGUGGGGAGCGAACAGGAUUAGAUACC
rnacentral:rRNA from 1 species